rnacentral:rRNA from 1 species
GAUGAACGCUGACAGAAUGCUUAACACAUGCAAGUCAACUGUGGCGGACGGGCGAGCAACGCGUAAAGAACUUGCCCCUCGGAUAGGGACAACAUUUGGAAACGAAUGCUAAUACCUGAUACCUUGAGAGAGCUUUGCGUCCCAUUUGCUAGUUGGAGAGGUAACGGCUCACCAAGGCGAUGAUGGGUAGCCGGCCUGAGAGGGUGAUCGGCCACAAGGGGACGGGGACAAGGCCAUUACUGCUACGGGAGGCAGGAGUGGGGGAUAGUGGACAAUGGACCAAAGUAUGAUCCAGCACUGCUGUGUGCAAAAUAAAGUUUUCGGAAUGAAAGGUGCUUUCAUUUGGGAAGCGGUACCAGCAGAAGAAGAGACGGCUAAAUACGUGCCAGCAGCCGCGGUAAUAC